rnacentral:rRNA from 1 species
GACGAACGCUGGCGGCGUGCCUAAUACAUGCAAGUAGAACGCUGAAGCGAGGAGCUUGCUCUUCUUGGAUGAGUUGCGAACGAGUGAGUAACACGUAGGUAACCUGCCUGGUAGCGGGGGAUAACUAUUGGAAACGAUAGCUAAUACCGCAUAAAAUUGAGUAUUGCAUGAUUAUUAAUUGAAAGAUGCAACUGCAUCACUACCAGAUGGACCUCCGUUGUUUUAGCUAGGUGGUUAGGGAACGGCUCUCCUAGGCGAGGGUACAUAGCCGACCGGAGUGGGUGGUCGGCCACACUGGGACUGAGAGAGGGCCCAGACGCCCUCGGGAGGGAGCAGUAGGGAAUCAUCGGCGAUGGGGGGAAGCCUGACCGAGGCAGGCCGGGUGAGUGAAGAAGGGUGUCGGAUCGGAAAGGUCCGUUGUAAGAGAAGAAAGGGUGUGAGCGUGGAAUGUUGACAGUGUGACGGUAGCUGACCAGAAAGGGACGGCUAACUACGUG